CCGGCCUGGUGGGUGGCUGCUGGGGUAAAGGCCCGGGGGCUGGCCCAGCUCCCCAGGGUACUCGUGCACACUGGCGUGCUCCCCGGUGGCCCGUUCCAGCGACUGGUCCCCGGAAGCAAGUUCGAGCCCUGGUCAGGAGGGGCAAUGGGUGGGACACCUACAUGGCGUGUUCCUGCUGCUGGGGCACCGACCUGGCCGGCUGAGAAGUCUCCAGCCCACCCCAGAAGCUGAGAUUUCUCCUGAGUGAGGCUUCAUUCUCCAGGCCAGCAUCCCCACGGGAACGGCAGCAGCCAUCUCUGAUGGGACACUUGCUACGAACAGGCACUGGUCUGUGCUUUCCACAUGAUCAGUUCAUUUAGUCCUGACAAUAAUCUCAUGAGGUAGCCACUAUUAUUAUUCUCAUCUCCACAGCAAUCAUGAUAACGGUAAUAACAGCUAACCAGAAAGCCACGACCUUAACGAAAUGAUCAAAGUUAAUGUCACCAAUGACACAGCAGACACCUCGUGCUUCUUGAUGCAACAUGCUCAGAAAGACACAUCGCACCAAAAUGCAAAACCGAAGCCUCAUCACAAGGAAACAUCAAGCAAACCCACACUGACGAACAGUCUACAAAGUAGGUGGUCUGUACUCUUCAAAAACGUCAGCAUCAUAAAAAUCCAAGAAAGGCUGGGGAACUGUUCCAGUUUAAGAAUGUGAAAGAGAGGGGUGCCUGGGGGGCUCAGUCGGUUAAGCGUCUGCCUUUGGCUCAGGUCAUGAUCCCAGGGUCCUGGGAUUGAGCCCCGAGUUGGGCUCUCAGCUCAGUGGGGAGUUUGCUUCUU